GACGAACGCUGGCGGCGUGCUUAACACAUGCAAGUCGAGCGAUGAAGCACCUUCGGGUGUGGAUUAGCGGCGAACGGGUGAGGAACACGUGAGGAAUCUGCCUUUCACUUCGGGAUAACUCCGGGAAACCGGGGCUAAUACCGGAUAUUUUCAACUGGCGGCAUCGCCGGUUGAAGAAAGUUUUUCGGUGAAAGAUGACCUCGCGGCCUAUCAGCUUGUUGGUGAGGUAAUGGCUCACCAAGGCGGCGACGGGUAGCCGGCCUGAGAGGGCGACCGGCCACACUGGGACUGAGACAGUGCCCAGACUCCUACGGGAGGCAGCAGUGGGGAAUAUUGGGCAAUGGAGGAAACUCUGACCCAGCGACGCCGCGUGAGGGAUGAAGGCCUUCGGGUUGUAAACCUCUUUCAGCGGGGAAUAAGCGAAAGUGAAGGUACCUGCAGAAGAAGCACCGGCUAACUAUGUGCCAGCCGCCGCGGUAA
rnacentral:rRNA from 1 species